GCAGUUAAACUGCCACUGCCGAUCCUGGUACCACUGGAGAAGGAGCCACCCCGGGGGAACACUGCUGGCCUCCUGGGAGCUACUGUCCAAGGGCCCCAAGCACGGAAGCCGCAGGUGAAGCCACAGAGAGCCACUGAGAAAGAGAGUCGCCCCUAGAACCCAUUCAGGCCCGGGCAGCAGGACAGCCACCUCGGUCAUCACCAGGCCAGCGGGAAGUGGCAGGUCCCCUGUUCUCUCGCUCUCCCUACACUGUGAUCUUGGGGGGCCUUGGGACUCUCAGAAGGAAGAGGGCCAAAGGAAGUGACAUGAGAAGUGGCUGGCACCCUGUUCCCUCCACAGUGGACGGGGCCCAGUGCGGUGGCGUAAAUAUUGAACCAGCGCACCGCUGUUCUUUAGCCGCACACCGGCUCCCAAGGUAAAAAGCCCUGCCCUUGGAGCAUUUGCCGCCUCCUAUGGUGUCACAGGUCCCAGCAUGGCCACCUCGGGCUGCAGGCUACCAGUGGGAUGUCACUGAGCGCAGGGCGGGAAGCCCACAGGUGGCCCUGCUGAGCUGAGAGGGGCCCAGUGCUCCCAGCCUGAAAUCAUGCUUACGCUGGGCUGGAGGGACAGAACUCUCUAGAAGGAAGACUGAGUUGCUGGAAAGCCUGUGUCCUGCAACCUUGCUUUAUUAUCUGAAGUGACCUCAGGGCUUUCCGUGACUGCCCACAUUUCCCCCCAGUGGCGAGGGGAAAGACUGAGCAGAUUUUAGCUCGGGGCCGGGAGGAAACACCAAUCGAGUGGCAUUCUCGUUCUAUGUGAAGGUGGUGUCCGUGCAGUGUACGGGUUACCUCGGUGACUUUUAAAAACUUGCAAAUGACUUUUUGAAAAAGACUGUCAUCCAACGGCCACGCAGGACCUGAAAGGUCACACGGGAAACCUCGGCCCUUGGUGGAGAACCGCGGGGUGUUAAGGAAGGCCUUCCGCCCACGAUGAGGUCUUGACUCAGAUGUCACUUCCUCCCAAGGUCUGCCUUGCGCCAGGGACAGGGGUCCUACUCGGCUCUGCACGUCUCUGUCUCCCCGCAUCUACCGUGGCCCCACAUGAUGUGCUCCAAGGCCAGCGCCCUGCACCCAGCCAGCUGCUUCCAAGGCAUCUGGGCACUCCCAGCCCCAAAUUCAUUCUGCCCAGCUUCUCCAACCAAGAGGGAAGGCCUUUCCUAAUUUCUGUUGCAAAGUUCCUGGGGAGGAAUUCGGUGUUGCCUGGGUCCGAUGCCCUCCUGGUGGUGGAUGCUCCUGGGGUAUUAGGGUUGGCAGCCCUCCUUAGAAUCCCGCGGUGGAGAGGAAGGAGGAACGGACUAGAAUCAAGCCGGAUAAAUCGUGGUGAUGGUCGCCUCACUUUGUGAAUGUACUAAAACCCUCUCAGCCGUAAAAGACGGAAUUUUAUGGUAUGUGAAUCCCAUCUCAAUAAAAAAAAUAAUAAAAAGUAAGCCAGAAAUAAAA